AUUGCCUGUAAUAGAAUCAAGAGUGGAAUAAAAUGGCCAUCUGAAACAAUGGCUAAAAUUUUUUACAUAUAAGAUCCUAUUCAACUUCUCUCUUGGAAUUGAUGAACUGUAGAGCACCAUAAAUUCUCAGCGUAAAGGUCUCCAAUGUUCACAACUUGGUAAUGAAGACACAAGAUAUGAUCUAUUUUAAUUUUCGAAAGCCAAAUAAGCGACUGGCUGCUAUGUACAGGGUCUGACAAAAAUCAUUUCACCAUGGCUUGACACCACGCUGCGGCCUGCCCGAGGCCAAAUUCCACUCUUGAUUCUAUUACAGGCAAUUUGCAAACGUAUCUCUUGAUUUAUUCAAUGUUGAUCCUAAGAACAGUUUUGCUUUUUCCUGCAGAAGUUACUCCAGUAUUUCGGUGAUGUUCUACUGAUGGAAGUGCCCAUCUGCCCCAAGUUGUCAUCUCCUUCUGUUCUCUGUUGCUAGAAGCUGUAUUACCAUUGAUAUCAAAUUGAUUACUUAAGCCAGGCAACUGUCCUUUGACAUUACCAUUCCACGCUUCUUCAAAUGCAGCAACUUCAUCUUCAUUCAGAUUGUGUAAAGUUUGGGAUGUAUCCACCUUGCCAUCUGAAUUAAGCUUCCUUGUGACAGAAUGGCCCUUAUCAUGAAGCCCUCUAGAGAUCUGAUGUGUUGCUUGACCCGUUGAUUUGUCCACUUCUUUGUUCUCCUCAAUUACCACUCCAUCACUGCCUGCCCUUCUGGUCCUUGUAGAAGUGUAAUAUGCUCCAUCUACACCACCAUAUGUGACUUUGCAAGUCUGAAAACUGAAAUUGCGAGCCUGCGGCUUAGUUCCUUCCAUCUUGUUAUCAUCAUGGAUACAAUUCACAUUCUUGCUUUUCACCUCUUCAAAAUCAUCAUCAGGAUACUCAAUAAAUGGUUCUUUGCCUGAGCCAGAGUGUAUAUCUUUUUCUUUUUCCUCCUUAUCAUUAGAUACUAGUUCUUCUAUAACUAAUUCGUUUGCUCCAUUGGCAUGCAAUGCAUCACUACUACCAGAAUUUGGAGGUUCAAGCCUGGUAGAUUCAAACAUGCUCCCAAAUGGGCGAGUAAAGAAUGGGUCAUCAAAUGGAUCUUUCCCCCCAAACAGGCUGGGCAUCAUGCCAAAGCCCCGGAAAUUACUGAAAGGGUCAUCCUUGCCAAAGAAAUCGUUUCUACCUUCUCUU
rnacentral:misc_RNA from 1 species